CACCGCGGUUAGACGAGAGGCCCAAGUUGACAAAUAUACGGCGUAAAAAGUGGUUAGUAUAAUACAUUACUAAAGCCAAACACCUUCAAAGUUGUCAUAUGCUAUUGAAGGCAGGAAGAACUCCCACGAAAGUGGCUUUAAAUAAUACAAACCCACGAAAGCUAGGGCA
rnacentral:rRNA from 1 species